UCUUGACAAAUUUUAGUUGCAGUCUUUUUAUUUUUUAUUAAGAUUUCUAUUUCCAAGGGCUCUAUUUAUCAUCAUAAUUCUCCUACUUUUGCGCCUAUAAUUACUCUGUCGGAUUUAUUCUCCUAUUUAUCAACACAUUUUACGCCCAAAAUAAGCUGUAAUACGACCUAAAAAUACGACCAGUUUUUCGCUCUCGCCAAGGCGCACAGGUGCGCCAAAUACAGCCAAAAAACAAUGGAUUUCAGUCGUAUUUUUAGAAAUACUCCCAACAAAUCGCCGAAAAUCAUAUUUAUCAUUAUUUUGCGCCAAAGGAGAACCUAUAAUUCUCCUAUAAAUCCGACCGUGAAAAUACUCCAUAACCAAGUAGGAGAACUUACAAUUUACUCCCAAAUUUUAUUCAUAGAAGAUGGAGUUUUUUUGUAUUUUGGCCGCUAUUUCUCUUGCUCAGUCCCAUGAAAAUCAAGAAAAUGAUGGAAAUAUGUUCCGGAGACGGCAAAGAGUUCCUCGAUUGUUUUUGCCCCGUUGUGGACUUGAGGCAUUAUCCGAUCGUGAAAUUAAGCGCAAAUUCAGGAUAAACCGAGAAAGCAUUUUGAAUCUAUAUUCUCUGAUUAAAAAUGACAUUGAUCCCCGAACCAGAAGAACAAGGGCAAUACCUGGACUUCUGAAAUUAUUCGCAGUUUUACAUUUUUUGGCAACCGGAUCUUUUCAGGCUGUAUCCAGUGAUGUUGUGGGCAUGAGUCAGCCUUCAUUUUGCCGCCAUUUAACAAUUGUUUUAAAAGCAAUUCUAAAACAUCUUUCUACAUUUAUUUAUGUUCCUAGGAAUGUGCAUGAAUGGCAUACAGUGAAGUCCAACUUUUACCAAGUAGCCGGUAUGCCCAAUGUUCUUGGUGCUAUAGAUUGCACCCAUAUUGCUCUUAGACCACCAUCCCUAAGGGAGGAGCAAUAUAGGAACAGGAAAAGCUUUCAUUCCCUAAACAUACAGGCUGUGUGUGAUGCAAACCUUAGAAUUUGGGCUGUUCGAUCUGGGUUUCCUGGAUCAUGUCAUGAUUUCCACAUCCUAAAACAAUCUGCACUAUUUUCUGCUUUUGAACAGGGCAACAUGCCACACGGUUGGCUAUUAGGUAAAUAUGAACUUAUUUCCAUAUAAUCUAAUUAUAAUGCAAUCAGUUCUCUGUAUUUUUUGUAAGUUUUUUUCUGAUUUGCACUUUAUACAUGUCAUUAAUAUAUAUAAGAAUUAUGAUUAAUUGUAAUGUUUAAAUUAUUUAUAAUCUCUAAUCAAUUUUUCUUUUGAAAAAAUAGGUGAUAGUGGUUAUCCGUGCCGAACUUGGCUGUUGACACCUGUCCCAAUGCCACAUACCAGAGGAGAAAUUAAAUUUAAUGAAUCCCACCGUAGCACAAGAAGUGCUAUCGAAAGAACUUUUGGGGUUUUAAAAAUGCGUUUCAGAGUUUUGGAUAGGUCUGGAGGAGCACUUCAAUAUUCGCCUGAAAAAUGUAAUGAUAUAAUUCUAGUUGCAUGCAUGUUGCACAACAUUGCAAUUUCCCAAGGCAAUUUAGAGGAGGAGUGUCCCAAUGAUCCCACAGAUGACACUUAUAUCCCUCAAGAAAUUAUAGGCAGACACACUACAAGGGCAGGUGUACAAAAUAGAUUGGAAAUUAUUGAAAGAUAUUUUUCAUAAUACAUGUCAUCACCCCGAGUUUUAAUUAUUUUAUAAGAAAUGUACACAAUUCUUUGAUAUUGAAGUUAACUCCACCCAUUUGAAAAAAUAAAACUUUUGCUUAUUUAUCAAAAA